rnacentral:tRNA from 1 species
GCCGGCGUCGCCAAGUGGUACGGCACCGUGCUUAUCAACGCCACGGAUCACGUGGCGCCUGUCAGAACGCGGCAAACUCGGGGGUUCGAUCCCCCCCGCCGGCA